rnacentral:rRNA from 1 species
UACGUAGGCAGCGAGCGUUGUUCGGAAUUACUGGGCGUAAAGCGUGUGUAGGCGGCGCUCUAAGUUCGGUGUGAAAUCUCUCGGCUUAACUGGGAGGGUGCGCCGGAAACUGGAGUGCUCGAACGUGGGAGAGGAAAGCGGAAUUCCUGGUGUAGCGGUGAAAUGCGUAGAUAUCAGGAGGAACACCUGCGGUGUAGACGGCUUUCUGGACCAUUGUUGACGCUGAGACACGAAAGCGUGGGUAGCAAACAGG